GAAAAAUAAUAAAAGUCAGUCAUUUAAAGUGUAAAGCCUGCAGAGCAUGUCCAACACAGAGAAUCCAGUUUGCUGUGACCCCACUGACUCUGUUGGAGAUAAGGAGAAAUGGGGACAUCUGCUGGUGAGAGGAAGGUCCAGGGAACCCUGGGACUCCUGGCUGUCCUGUGAGACCUGGGAAACCCCGUUCACCCUGCACACGAUGACACAGAUACAGAAGCUGUCACUGCAAUGGUCAUGUGUGGUGGAACACAUAGUCUCCCACUUUUUCCAUCAGCCUUGCAAUCAGGCCUGAGGGGAGGCACAGCCGGGCUCGUUCUCUGAAGGUUGCCAGCCCGAGCCGACAAGCCCCGGCCGGCCCGCUGAGCGCCGCUGGAGGUCUGUAUAGGACAGAGAGUGGCGCUCCAGGCUGCGAGCCGCGGCGUCAAACCGCUGAUCCCUUUCAUCGCCGCUGGACUUUGACUGCUUCAAGGGGAGUGUUGGGGAUUCCUCAAACUCCAACAUCCAGAUGGGACUUUAUCUAAACAGGCUCAGAGUGGAAGAGGCGAUCCAGCAUGUCUGAAGAGCAAUGAAAACUGACUCCUCCUUUGACAAAUUGCUGCAGGGAAGGUGAAGGUCCACAACUUGGCCACAUGAGGGUGCUAACAAGACUGGAAACCAUGCAGGUAAGUUAUGAAAAGCACAGGUCUGUAUCUGCAGCCCCAGCAUGGAUUUAUACUAAUGAGUCAAAAGCUGCUUUGGUCCAGCUUGACCUAAACUAUAAGUAAGUUUAGUCCGAUUUAAUCAUGAUGGUGACUUUAGCUAGUUUUCUUAUUUAUUGUGUCACGUGGACACCAGAAAUACUGAACAGAACAAAAGGUCCUUUAAAAACUUAGUGUUAUCUGGUGAAAUGCAAAGGUCAAAGCUGCAGAAUCAGUUCAGUUCAUGACGCCUUCUGACGAAGUGGUUACAUUUGCAUCUUAGUUGCUGACUGUGUU